rnacentral:tRNA from 1 species
GCCCACCUAGCUCAGUUGGUAGAGCAUGAGACUCUUAAUCUCAGGGUUGUGGGUUCAUGCCCCAUGUUGGGCA